CUCAUUUUACAUUUUCUCAUUUUUAGAAAAAUAAAAACCAUACUCCAUUGUCUUCAUAAUAAUAAACUUCACCACCCCAAAUAUCUUCAAGCCACCACUUCAUCAUAACUCACCUUUUUCGGCAACCAACAAAGCUCACCACCAACUUCGUAAUCUCAUUCGUCAUUUCGCCAGGUAAUGGUUGUUCAAACUUGUUCUUUGUUUUCACUUCCUUUAUGCUUGUUGUCUUACAAUUUAUUCUUUAAUUUGAUAGUU
rnacentral:lncRNA from 1 species